UAUAGUUAGUUCAUUGUGUGUAACUGUUUAUAACAAUAGAAGCUAACUAGACAUGGGGAGGGGGAGAUGUAGGGUACGGUGUUCAGAAGAUCUCGCGAUGUCACGGAAAGGUAG